ACCACACACAAAGCCUGAACCGAUUGAGAAAGUCAGUCUGUGGAAAUCUCCUUCUGUAUUAUCUGAUCAUAGGCAGAUUGCCGGUACAGGAUUACAAACCUAUGCAAAGACAACUCAACCAGGUGCUCCAACACAAUGAGGCUGUCUGCUUGAUAGGCUAGCGAACGGUAAAACCCAGGAGCUUGGGCACACUUCUGCCGCCCAUGACGAAGAAAACAGAUUCAGCUCUUGUCUCCCAGGAGAUGGAUGCCAACCAGAACACAUCAAAGAAAAUGUCAUGUUGAAUUAGUUUCCACAUGCCCCCUGUAAAUAAGCUAAUAUGAUCAUGUACUCCGAGGAGAACGUAUAGCAUAAAGACUGAUUUGUGGAAAUAAAUAAAUAAAUAAAAAAGUUACUGAUGUCCAAGCAAAUCCAUUCACA